rnacentral:ncRNA from 1 species
AAAUCAUACUCUUUGUUUCUAGGCUAUAGAUGGCGCAAGCUACUGCCCAUUAUUCCCGUUAUAAAAGGCACGGCCGUUCGAAUCCAUCCAAGGUGAGAUUACCAGACGAUAUACCCGCCAAGCUGCAAGAUGGGGAAUUUUGGACAAUGGGGGCAACCCUGAUCCAGCAAUGCCGCGUGUGUGAAGAAGGCCUUCGGGUUGUAAAGCACUUUUGUCCGGAAAGAAAUCGCGCUGGUUAAUACCUGGCGUGGAUGACGGUACCGGAAGAAUAAGCACCGGCUAACUACGUGCCAGCAGCCGCGGUAAUACGUAGGGUGCGAGCGUUA